UUCCACAAGCACAGCUAAGCUAGCUGGCAUCCGUGGUCUGUGAUUUUUUUUUUAUUGGUUAAGUGGUCCUUGGUUUGACAAAGUUUAAGAAACACUGGUAGAGGUGGUGUGCUGUCAUGCUGUUAUUUCUGCAGUGAAAGCAAACAUUUUUGGUGGUGGUUUUCAGUUUCAUUUUUUAUUUUAUUUUUUGAAGUGGAUAGGAACCAUGUGUAUCAACUGACUGAAAGAGGAAUUCCCUGUAACCUUCCCAUUUAAAUGGAAGUUGUUUCAAAAUGUCUGGA